GUACCCCUACUGGCACCAUCCGUGUUACACAUAAUUUUUCCUUUUGGUGGAGGUUGCCACAGUACCUUCUUGUAGUGCAUAAUGGGUUUGAGUUUGUUCAGGAAGUCAAUAACUUAUGGCCAGUGUAUUGGUACGUUUUUUAGAGUUGAGAACUUAGUGUUUAUCAGUAGCCAAAUAUCAAUAUUUACUUGGUACACUAGUUUAUUGAAACUUAUCAUGCCUUCAUAUAUACUUGAAAGUAUUCCUCAUUUUCCAUAAUUCUCAUAUGAUUUUACUAGGGAUAGCCUUCAUUAUCUACUAUAGUUUUGUGUGCCCAUGUAUAGUCCACCACUUGGUAAUUAGUUGUAUCAGUUGUCCUUCUGGGUUGAUACCUGCACAAAAAGUAAAAGUUCAUCAAAUCUUUGCAGCUGUAGGAGAGGUUAGAAAAACAUGUGUCAUGGUCUUCCUUUUUGGAUUAGAGUAGCAGUAACAUCUAGAAGAGAAGCUGAUACCCAUUCUUUGCACCACUUCAUAUAUGGGCAACCUAAACUUCCAAGCCCUCCAUAAGGUAAAUGUCAUCUUAAAAGGUAAUUUUUUGCACCAGAUAUUGCUAAAUAUGUCUUCGUUUUAUUCUCUGUGCCUUAUAUAAUGCCACACGCUCUUACUGAAAAAUUCCCACUCUGUUCUAGCAUCCAAAUUGGCUUGUCUAGCCCUUUGUUGUUGUUUGGAGGGGUAAUUGUGAUAAUGAUAUACUUUAUUAACUCAUCUGGUAAGUAUUGUGCUAAAUAUUCUAAAUUCCAUCUCUUCCCUUAUGUGAACUUAUCAAGCUCUAUCUCGUCAUCUUCCACAGCCUCCGGUGAUACCAACCCACCUCUCAAGAUGUAUUUUAGAAGAAAAUAUCGACAAAAGAAUAAAGAGUUGAAUUCUGGACAAACAACUGCUACAACAGUUGUCUAGCAGUUGUCUAGCAGUUAUUAUUCCUAGUUUAUAGUUUAUAGUGUCAAGUCUUAUCCUUUUACGUUCUCUAUAUAUAUGUAAUUAGGAUUAGUUAUUGGUAUUAUGUAAUUAAGAAUCAAAACUACUAUUUUCUGGAGUCUUGUCCUCUCCAUACGGACAACUUUAUCUGUAUAGUUGUGCCACAAACUAUUUACAGUAAAUCUACUUGCUUUGUUCUAUUUU
rnacentral:lncRNA from 1 species